rnacentral:rRNA from 1 species
UACAGAGGCCUCGAGCGUUAGGCGGAAUCACUGGGCUUAAAGCGUGUGUAGGCGGACUUCUAAGUACCUUGUGAAAUCCCACAGCUUAACUGUGGAACUGCUUGGUAUACUGGUUGUCUUGAGGUACCUAGGGGCGAGCGGAACAAGUGGUGGAGCGGUGAAAUGCGUAGAUAUCAUUUGGAACGCCAAUGGUGAAAACAGCUCGCUGGGGAUGUACUGACGCUGAGACACGAAAGCCAGGGGAGCAAACGGG